rnacentral:rRNA from 1 species
GUACGGGAGGCAGCAGUGGGGAAUUUUGGACAAUGGGCGCAAGCCUGAUCCAGCCAUUCCGCGUGCAGGAUGAAGGCCUUCGGGUUGUAAACUGCUUUUGUACGGAACGAAAAGGCUCUGGUUAAUACCUGGGGCUCAUGACGGUACCGUAAGAAUAAGCACCGGCUAACUACGUGCCAGCAGCCGCGGUAAUACGUAGGGUGCGAGCGUUAAUCGGAAUUACUGGGCGUAAAGCGUGCGCAGGCGGUGAUGUAAGACAGAUGUGAAAUCCCCGGGCUCAACCUGGGAACUGCAUUUGUGACUGCAUCGCUGGAGUGCGGCAGAGGGGGAUGGAAUUCCGCGUGUAGCAGUGAAAUGCGUAGAUAUGCGGAGGAACACCGAUGGCGAAGGCAAUCCCCUGGGCCUGCACUGACGCUCAUGCACGAAAGCGUGGGGAGCAAACAGGAUUAGAUACCCCGGUAGC